rnacentral:pre_miRNA from 1 species
AAGAAAUGUGGCAUGCCCGUUGUGAAUUACUCUGAUUAUUGAUGUAUAUUCUUUAAUUUAAAUGAUUUUGAGAAACGGGGUGUUACAAUUGG